rnacentral:rRNA from 1 species
CUUUCGGAAAUUGUAUUUUGAAGGUGGGUUGGGCCAGGAAAGUUACUUUAAGCCCAUUGGAAAAGGGCGCCAUGGAGGGUGAUAGCCCCGUAAAAGUAUCCCUUUUCCUUUUAUCCAUUCCCUCCAAAGAGUCGAGUUGUUUGGGAAUGCAGCUCUAAGUGGGUGGUAAAUUCCAUCUAAAGCUAAAUAUUGGCGAGAGACCGAUAGCGAACAAGUACAGUGAUGGAAAGAUGAAAAGCACUUUGAAAAGAGAGUGAAAAAGUACGUGAAAUUGUUGAAAGGGAAGGGCUUGCAAGCAGACACAACCUCGGUUGGGCCAGCAUCGGAGUGGGGGGAGACAAAAAAGAAAAGGAAUGUAACUCAUUGAGUUUUAUUACCCUUUUUCCAAAUCUUCCACCCCCUCCCAGGCCCUGGAUUCUUCCAGGAUGCUUGGGUAAUGGUUGCAAGUUCCCGUCUUGGAAAAAAACAUUCCCCCCCCGGGGUUUUUUUUUGGGGGGGAAAAAUUUUCUUUUCUUUAAAAAAAAAAAAAACCCGUUUUUUUUUUUAGGGGGGAAAUUUUUUUUUUUUUAAAAAAAAAAAAACAGUUUUUU